rnacentral:lncRNA from 1 species
ACAUACCUGUCAACUGACCCGUAUUCUGCGGGUGUGACCCGAGAUUUUCACAAUUCUGAGGGAUCACCCGGAACACCCGCCGGGUCAUCGAAAUAACCCGGGAAUUACGAAAAUGACCCGAUUUCACUCGUAUUUCUUAGCCUUGAGAUUGAUUUCAUAAGUAAUAUUCCUUUGAAAUACCGGCAAAUUCGUAAUUCUUCCAUGAAUAGGAAGUUCAUCUAGCUCAAUCUCCCAUGCAGAGUUGUCGGUCCUUGCUCUCUCUCAAGAUUGCAUCUAGCUAUGUAAACUGUCAAAUUAAGUGACCCAUUAAGUGCAUGGCUUCACUUGACAGCUAUGGUGUCGAACACACUGUUCAUUAACACCAAUUACCUUAGCUUUAGGUCGUAAAUAAAUUGCACCA